rnacentral:lncRNA from 1 species
CUAGAGGUACUUAUGAGAGGAAUACCAAAGAGCUUGCAGUUCCCUUCUCUAGAUUUUCCAUUCUUAUGCUCUUGAGCCAAUGAUGUUUUCGGCAUUAAAUCUCUUGAAUGGAUUGAAUUAUCAUAACAAGAAGUGGUUGGGGGAGGCAUCAACCAAUUACCACGUGAGCAUUCAAUCCUAUGACCUUCAAGUAUAGGGUAGUCACCAAAACCACUAAAUCUACCAUUUCCCCGCGCCUGAUAAGGCACAUCAGAACCUUGCAAAGGAGGGUCUGUACUACUGUCAGACAACUUGAGUGAGAGACCAGAUGGCAAGAGGGACCAAGAGCCAAGCUUCCCUUCUUGACCUAGUAAUUGUUUUUUCCCCGAAUUACCAGCUACUGAAGUUUGAUCAACAAAGGAAGGAUAAUAUCCGCGCGAUGUAUCAGCAUUCGACCCAAAACCUGAGAGCAAAUCUGUGUAAGUUGGUUCAUGCCUCCUAGAGGGCAUCCAAUUCUCUGGCCCAAAUUUUCUUUCACCAUGAGCUACAUCAAUCUUCUCAUCAUCUAUUGAAGGUGGCCACAUCACUGACCUAUCAGCAGUGUCAGAAUCAUUACUCUCAGCAAAUGUGCCUCUCAAGGUCGAGAAUUCUUGACCU